CGACUCCAUGGCGAGGGGCAGCUGCGCCAUCUGGGCUCCAGCAUGAUCUUGGUCGUGAUGGUGCACACGCGGGAGAACACAACGACCUUGACAUCUGUCGGCGUGUCUUCGACUCCGCGGGUGAGGGAAACGAUGCCAACCAUGAUGUCUAUCGAAUCUCACAAUCGGUAGUGAGCUGAACACCGCUGCACAACAAGGUUUCAUCGCCUCCAAUAUUCUUGCAGAAGCUAGGUUGGGACUAGCUAGAUUGGGACUGAUGGUGUGCUUGGUGAUAAAAGCAAUGCUCUGGCCGUUGUGUCCGGCAGCAGAGUCGGUGUCAAAGAACAAUAGCGGUAGUGGUGACAGAGGCCACAAGCUCACCGCUUGGCCUGUGAUUUACCUCUGCGGAUUCUUGCCUUGAGGUCUGAACCGCUUCUCCGAUUUAUCAUGUCCGAUUAAUGCCAGCCAUAUGGGAGGUUCACCCCAGGAGAUCCCCAAACGGCCAUGUGACGGCAGUCGGCAGCUCAGACUAAGGUGAGCACCAAGUGUGCAACAUGUCCCUGCUGUCUAUACUCCAGCUAUUUUCUAGAUUAGUUGGCUUUAGAUGAUUCUUGUGCAACCUAAGGACUUAUAAUGCUUCCACUAAGAUGGAAAAAAUAUAGCUGCAAGUACUUUGAGUCCUCAAGUAUUUUAUGUCAUCGUAUUUUUGGAGUAUUCUUAAUAGUUGAUCCGCGUCUACUUCCACCUGGUACCAUUUUGAAGCGCUGGACGCCGAAGGUCAGAGAUGAUGUCUUAAAUGGUGAUAACCAAAAUGAGGAUGUUUGUGAGUCCAUUGCAAGCCUACUACCACUUUUUUUUUUUUGCUUCACACUAGGUUUUAGAUCUGUAAUUUAGCAAUUUUUGUCCAUAAGUGUUCUUCAUAUUACUAAUGAAUGGCGAACAAGAUUCCUGUUUUUUGCUAUGUGCUUGCCUUAUUGCCAUGGGUAUUUCUUUCUAUUUUGUGAAUUGUGGAUGACGUAAUUCGCUUCCUAUGAACAAAUAUUUCAUAUGUACAUAUAAUUGUAUGCAGAUGGAGAACUCAAGUAAUCUUACCAUCUGAAUGUAACUUUUUUUUCCUUUUAGGAUAGAUAGUUACCUUUUUAUGCCCAACUCCUGAUUGAAUUGUGUUUGCUGAUGCAAGAUGGCCACCUCUCGCCACGUGCAUCACGUACGUCCAGUGGCAGUAGCCAGUAUUUGUUCAGGACUGACACCUCCUGAAGCCAUGGAUUCAACAUGAAAUGGUUGCUCAAUGUAUAAAUUUCAUUCAGCGGCAAUAUACUUCUCUGUGAGGUCAUGCUCUAAGGCCUGGACAGAAUUGUGAGGAAUGGUUAGUGCUGGCCUUAAGAAAAUUAAAUAGAUGUUCUUCUGAACUCAUUUCUCUCCAGGUAUGUUAUGAACCCCUUUGUAUUCUAUUUGUUAUUCUCUCACUUUCUUCACUCAGCGACCUGCCAUAUAAGAUACAUAAUUUCGUUACAAACUGUUGAUGCUGCUUUUAAGAAAAACAGAAAUUUAUUUUGUUCACAUUAAUUGAUAAUCUCAUUCAGGGAGAUGUGUUUCAUGCCACUAUAAUAUACCAUUUUAAACUAUGCAUGUGUACUCUACGCAAUAAAUUAUGAGUCUGUAGUUAGGACUAAUACAUACACUAUAUAAAAGUUGAACAGAUCAGCGCGCUCACAACGUUUUAGCUACUGUAGAUAUGGUAUUUAUCCACUCUUCCAUCCAGCCAUUGCCUGACAUGUAGCUCUCCCGUUUUUUUCCUCCAUCGUUUGCUCAGUUAGUUGCUUUUGGUCUUUUUUUUUUGCCAGAAGGGAAACAGGCAACCGGCUGUUGGCCUCUCUCCCUCCUUUCUACUGUGAAUCGUUUCCGGUUAUAUUUAUUACCUUCUGGUUGGGUUGGUCAAGGCGGUGGAUGUUAAAGCGGUGCCCUGGAUCCCCUUCUCUCCUCCUCCCUAUUGCCAUCGUCGCCCACAUUCUUCCCUAGGACCGGUGCCCUCUUCUCCCUCUCCGGCCGCUGUGUCAUCUACCUAGGCGGCUGAUGGUGUGGAGGAGGUUUUUGGGCCUUUCCGCUCCUCCCCGACGCGGAUGGCGAUGCGGCCCCAAAUCAACGCGAAUGGAUGGCCGCGAGGGUCCUGCGCUUGGUUGCUAGAGGGCUUCGACAGCCUGGUAGUUGGCCGCCAUAGCCACGGCUUGAUGCGUCGCGAUGCCGUACUGCUCUGCAGCAAGGUCUUGAUGAGCGGUGACGCCCUGUGGGGGACUUCAAAUGCAAGAUUCGAGGCUGCACAGGCACUGCCUGAGUCGCUGAGGGAUGUUGUUUUGCUUCCUCUUCAUCGUUUAACUCAUGGGACGUAUUUCCUUCCCUUCUAAUAAUUCUCUUUUUCCUUUCAUUCCUUUUCCUCCAUCUUAUUGAUUCCUUCUUUGUUUGUAUCUUUUUGGUCGCCCAGGUGUUGGCCUAGGUUGUUGUGGUCUCAGCAUCCAUUAUAAAGAUCAAUUUACAUUUGGUUUCUCCAUUCUUGAAAGUUGGAACUACGAUUUCUACCACCGUUCAUGUCAACCGAUACUAAAAAUAGUAUUUGCAUGGUAUAUGGAUCCAGCGACCUGGCAAAUUUUGUUUGAGUUCGACUUCAUUAUUAUUACAGGGAGGUACCUUCUAAAUAUUCAGACACUUCAUUUAGCUAUUGUCACUUAUAAAUACAGUGCAUACAACUAGCUUGAGAAUUCAUCUUAUCAUCUAUGAAUGCUCACUCCAAUAUCAAAGAACAGUUAGUAAACAUAUGUUUUUUUAACGACAUACGCACCUGCAUAUUGGCUUAUUGCACUUAUAUUUCAACUGACUGAUUUUCUGCAAUGUAACCAACCAAUGCUAGAUUUCCAUCUGUUUUAUAGUUACUUGCUAACAAUGUUUCAGGGCAACACAAUGGAAGGCUGUGACAUCUAAUCAAAUAUACAUGUGCAGAGAACAACUAAAGGAAGGUUUGAUCUACAUAUUUGAGUCUUUUUAUUGUAGCAGCAGCGCUAAACAAAUACAAGAUAACGCUUAUAUGAUCAAGAUUUCUCAAUCCACAAAGGUCAUCGAAGCCAUUACAGAGACUAAAAAAUUUCCUAUGUUCAUUUGAUGUUCUGCAGUCACGCGCAGGGAACAACACCGUUCUAUCAGAUGAUUGUUAAUGGAUAUCAUUUCAUAGAAGACGCAUUAAGAGCCAAGGAUGCAUAUUCGCUUAAAAGAUGCUAGGUGUUCCAAAGGUGUUGUUGGUGUUUUACAUCCAUUGCUGCACAGCUACAGGGCAUGCCUCCAGUGAUCUUUCAUGGUAAUUCAUAGAACAAAGUGUCACGAAGGAAGUGGCCGCGCUGGGUCCAAUGGAGUGGUAGUUCAUGCUGGUGGCGGUCCUCCUACUGGUGAUCAUUUUCCUAAAUUGAUUGGUAUGCAAGCUACCAAUUUUACUUCUCCUUCAAAGAACUCUGCUAUCCGGAGAGAUCAUUCAACCGCAGACAUAGUAGGCUUUAUUUAGCUAAAAGAACUAUGUAUCAAGAUCUCUGUUCUCUCUAUACCUUUUGAGUUAGUGUGCUCGAAACUGCCACUUUAUAAUGUUCUGCUGUAUCUGUGUGUUGCUGUAUAUAGUUGCCGUCAAUGAAUAUAUCAGAGACUUUCUCUUUUAUUUCAUCUUCUUCAUAUUA